rnacentral:rRNA from 1 species
GACGAACGCUGGCGGCGUGCUUAACACAUGCAAGUCGAACGGAAAGGCCCUGCUUUUGUGGGGUGCUCGAGUGGCGAGCGGGUGAGUAACACGUGAGUAACCUGCCCUUGACUUUGGGAUAACUUCAGGAAACUGGGGCUAAUACAGGAUAGGAGCUCCUGCUGCAGGGUGGGGGUUGGAAAGUUUCGGCGGUUGGGGAUGGACUCGCGGCUUAUCAGCUUGUUGGUGGGGUAGUGGCUUACCAAGGCUUUGACGGGUAGCCGGCCUGAGAGGGUGACCGGCCACCUUGGGACUGAGAUACGGCCCAGACUCCUACGGGAGGCAGCAGUGGGGAAUAUUGCACAAUGGGCGGAAGCCUGAUGCAGCAACGCCGCGUGCGGGAUGACGGCCUUCGGGUUGUAAACCGCUUUCGCCUGUGACGAAGCGUGAGUGACGGUAAUGGGUAAAGAAGCACCGGCUAACUACGUG